AGUGACAGCUACUGAAUCAUAAGAUCUAAAUAUAGUGACUAUGAUAAGAUAAGGGAAAAUAAAUAUGAUAUUACCUUAUUAAAAGUGUUGUCCAAGACUGGUGCCAGAAGACUCGGUAAGGCCAGAAACGCAAACGUUAAUCGUCUUUAUCAGGCGUAAAGGGUAUGUAGGCAGCUUUAAAAGUUUGAUUUUUUAUAUAGCAAGUUUAUUUAAUAUUCAUUUUUGCUUUAAUACUUAGAUAUUAAAUUCACAAAAAAUGAAUAUUUUUAAAAUUUAAAAAAUUAGAUCAAUUAAAGAUAGAAUCAUAAUGGGGAAAAACCGAAUAAUACUUAGUGUAGGGCUAAAAUCUGUAAAUAUUAAGGGGAAUUCUAAAGGUGAAGACUUUUUUUCUAGUAAUGAUUGACGCUGAGAAACGAAGGUGAGAAUAGGAAAGAGGAUUAGAGACCCUUGUACCUCUCACUGUCAACGAUGAAUGGUAGUCUGUUAGUUAUAGUAUAAACUGGCGACGAUGCAAACGCGAUAACCAUUCCGCCUUGCGAGUACGGUUGCAAAACUGAAACCAAAAAAAUUAGUCGGUCUCGAAGCAAACGAAGUGAAGCAUGUUAUUUAUCNNAAAAACCCCCAAAA
rnacentral:rRNA from 1 species